rnacentral:rRNA from 1 species
GAUGAACGCUAGCGGGAGGCCUAACACAUGCAAGUCGAGGGGCAGCACGUCUUCGGAUGGUGGCGACCGGCGCACGGGUGCGUAACGCGUAUGUAACUUGCCUAUAACUGGAGAAUAGCCCAAAGAAAUUUGGAUUAAUGCUCCAUAGUAUUAUUAAACUGCAUGGUUUGAUAAUUAAAGCUCCGGCGGUUAUAGAUAGACAUGCGUCCCAUUAGCUAGUUGGUGAGGUAACGGCUCACCAAGGCGACGAUGGGUAGGGGGCCUGAGAGGGUGAACCCCCACACUGGGACUGAGACACGGUCCAGACUCCUACGGGAGGCAGCAGUGGGGAAUUUUCCGCAAUGGGCGAAAGCCUGACGGAGCAAUACCGCGUGAGGGAAGAAUGCCUAUGGGUUGUAAACCUCUUUUUUCAGGGAGGAACAAAAUGACGUGUACCUGAAGAAUAAGCAUCGGCUAACUCCGUG